AGCGAACGCUAGCGGCGGGCUUAACACAUGCAAGUCGAGCGCUUCACUUCGGUGAAGAGCGGCGGACGGGUGAGUAACACGUAGGUUACCUGCCCCUGGGUGAGGGGACAACCGAGGGAAACCUCGGCUAAUACCACAUAUGGUCUACGGAUCAAAGGCUUCGGCCGCCCGGGGAUGGGCCUGCGUCCCAUUAUUUAAUCCUAGUUGGCGGGGUAACGGCCCACCAAGGGUACGAUGGGUAGCUGGUCUGAGAGGAUGAUCAGCCACACUGGAACUGAGACACGGUCCAGACUCCUACGGGAGGCAGCAGUGGGGAAUAUUGCGCAAUGGGCGAAAGCCUGACGCAGCCACGCCGCGUGAGUGAUGAAGGCCCCAGGGUCGUAAAGCUCUGUCGGGGGGGAAGAAGUUCUGACGGUACCCCCAAGAAAGCACCGGCUAACUCCGUGCCAGCAGCCGCGGUAAUGUCAC
rnacentral:rRNA from 1 species